CUCCGGAAGUCGAUUAAUGGAAGUCUCCAUCUCAGUAGAUAAAAGUCCCUUUCUGUGUCUUCUUUCCACAUUUUAAUAAACAGCGCAAUUCGCGCAAAGCACGUUUUAAAUUGAUUGGUUCUCUGAGUCUGAAUUCCAAUGCACCAAAUAUGGUGAGGUAAACAACGUAAUUGCUAACUCGUUCAAAUAUUAAUUCGAUGAAUCCAACAAAAGUUCAAACCCAUGUGAGAUUCAAUGACGAGUGUAGUGGGGAAAAGAUUGGGAUGAUCCAAAUUUAUAUCAUUUAGACAUUUUAUAAGAUCUUACCGAACUUUCACAGGAAUAUGCAGAAGUAUUGAAUUAAAUUGAAUAAUGAAAUAAUAAACCGAAUUACCAAAGGAAUGAAUGUGAUUGCCGAACCGAAAUGCAUCAUGGGGAUGUAAACAAGAUAAUCCUCCAAAAUGGUAGCCUAGGUCACACAAGCCGUUUGACUUCCCACUCAAACGCCUUGGAGCGUUCUAUUUAAAAAUAUUACACCGCGAGGGGGCGCUAUCGAAAAACGGAAAGCGACACCGAAGAAAACAAAGACCACAACUGUUGUUCCAAAUGUCAGUUUAUGUGUCGCUUGUUCUAAAGAAAGCAAACGUUGAGUUUUUUGGAAGUUCGAAAUUUGGUCCUUCAUUAGAGAAACCAGUGACGAUAUGACCAGAAUUAUGCUGACUUCACGAGGACUAGUAUUACUAUGCAGGUCUUCUUCAAACAUUAAUUGCGGUAGAAUCGUAUACAAUAGCGAUUUCCCAUAGCCUGUUGGUAAUACUGCCAACACGUCUGACCUAUUUGCUAAUUUAAGUAAACACUCUUUCUGUAAAGGUUUCAGUGAGAAUUCGAUUUUUAAAUCUGAUAAAACUUUGUUUAUCUUCUGUUCGACUGCAUCCGUCAUCGUUAUGCAUUGAUCAACCAAUCAGCUGCUUUAUCAGAAUUCGGAUAAGCCUCGUUAUGGAGUGUAAAUGUUUAUCGUAGAAUGCUCCUAGACGUUUGUCUCGUAGAACACUGCAUUGACAAACGUGUAGGUGACCUAGACUACCAAAAUGGGAGAACAAAGACAACGGGAGAAAAGUAAGUACAAUAGCUUGCUAUUCCAUGAUGCUACUUUUUAUUCUUUGAUAUGAAGCUUCAGAUCAUUUGGGUCAUAUUGCUUCACAAUCUAACUGGUUGUAUUUGUAGGCCUGUAGAUAAAGGGAAAUACUGACCCCAGGAUCAUGAGCAUGUGGCCCAGGCUAUGCCGAACUUGUAUAUGGCCUACUUGCAUUGAACGAUUGGUGCUAGAUGUAAACGGUGUAUACGCUCAGUGCCUAGAUAGUCUAAGACGUGUAGUGGGCUCAAUGUUUCUGCGACUUGUGACUGAGUGCCAACUUGCAUCAACCUAAUGUGUGGUUAUUUCAUCAAGGGCGGAUCUAAAUUUUCAAAGUUGCAGGCAAUGAGGCUCCCUGAGAGUGCGAGAGAUCAUACAUGCAUUAUGGCCCGUCAGUCCUGAGACUCGCAAACUAGUGUGUAAGAGAAAGCAUCUGAUCCAACAAGAAGAUCGUGUGGACACUGGCAGAGUUGUCAUUUUGAAAUGGCACCCAAUGCCCUCUGACAGAAGAUGUAUACCAGAACUCACAUUGGAGAUACUUGAUAGCAGAAGCUUUGGAUAAGAGUUGCCUUGGAGAUGAUUAUUGACGAAAUACCUAGUUUUUGAAAAAACAAUGCAUUAUAGGAAAUACGGAACUUAUAUUAAGUCACAUUAGCACUAUAUUGUACCUUUUUGUUAGACACUAGACAAUUUUUCAGAACACUUGUUUUUUGUGAAGUGAAGCACUAAUAUACGUUCAUGUGAAGUUCAUCGCGAAUGAUCAUCUGACAUAUUCUGAUAUACUCGACAUUUAACAAUUGUUUCUGUUGAGUCUGUUAAAUUAUAUUUACAACAACAGUAAUCUCAUAGAAUAAAUUCACGAUCCAGUGAUCGAACCACUAGACUGUUACAAUGAUAUGUAUUUUUGCUAUGCAUACAUUAUGUGAUAUUAUGUUUAUGGAUUCCUGUAUUGUUGGAAACACAGUUGGCAGUCUAGAAAAAAAUAUUUUUAUGCAUAAAUGAUUCGGGCAAGGGCAACAUAUAUUCACAAACGCGAUUCAUUUACUUAACGUAAGGCACUGUUUUGACUUUAUCACGGCAUCAUGUACAUGAUGCCACUUUGUGAAGUCAGCACACACUUUUUCAAGUGUGAAGCUUGACACAAAGAGCACAUGAUAUUGACACAGCCACUUCAUCACCAAAUACACAAUGCCGCUUUGUGAAGUCAGCACACAUUUUUUCAAGUGUGAAGCUUGACACAUAGAGCACAUGGUAUUGACACAGCUACUUCAUCACCAAAUACACAAUACCGCUUUGUGAAGUCAGCACACAUUUUUUCAAGUGUGAAGCUUGACACAUAGAGCACAUGGUAUUGACACAGCUACUUCAUCACCAAAUACACAAUACCGCUUUGUGAAGUCAGCACACACUUUUUCAAGUGUGAAGCUUGACACAUAGAGCACAUGGUAUUGACACAGCCACUUCAUUACCAAAUACACAAUACCGCUUUGUGAAGUCAGCACACACUUUUUCAAGUGUGAAGCUUGACACAUAGAGCACAUGGUAUUGACACAGCCACUUCAUCACCAAAUGCAUGAUACCACUUUGUGAAAUCAGCACACAUUUGUUCAAGUGUGAAGCUUGACACAUAAAGCACAUGGUAUUGACACAGCCACUUUUUCACCAAAUACACAAUACCGCUUUGUGAAGUCAGCACACAUUCGUUCAAGUGUGAAGCUUGACACAUAAACACAUUAAAUUUAUCCAAUAUACAUGUUGAUACAUAUUCAUAAUUUUUUUAAUUUUUUUUUUACAUUUCUAACAUAACGUGUCCACCUUCAUGAUUAUGUUCAUUAUUGGCACACUUUUUCAUGCAGUGCGUUUUUGUUAUUUUAUCUUCCAAAGCUGCAAUGUACAAAUAUUAUUUCUAUUUUUUUUAAAAAACAUAUUUUACCUGGUAUUUGUAUAAUCCAUAUUCAAAUUUAGUAUUAAAGUUUAAAAAUUUCCUGCUAAUAUUUGUAAUUGUCACAAAAGCAUGAAUUAAUCUUUGUUAUGUUGUUUCACCAUUUUGAAUUCUGUUGUUUUAUUGAAUAUAUGUACUAAGUAAAUAUACAAUGUUCAAAUAAUUGACAUGAAAUUGGUGUAAAGUAAAUGUAUACUAUGUUCAAAUAAUAGACAUGAAAUGGGU